rnacentral:rRNA from 1 species
UACAGAGGUCUCAACCGUUGUUCGGAUUCAUUGGGCGUAAAGGGUGCGUAGGCGGUCGUGCAAGUCGGAUGUGAAAUCUCAGGGCUCAACCCUGAAACUGCAUUCGAUACGGGCUAGCUAGAGUGUGGUAGGGGAGACUGGAAUUCCUGGUGUAGCGGUGAAAUGCGCAGAUAUCUGGAGGAACACCGGUGGCGAAGGCGGCGUUCUGGACUGCAACUGACACUGAGGAACGAAAGCCAGGGGAGCAAACGGG